UUACAUUUUAAUAAUUUGUUAAUAAUAUCACAAGAAUAAAAAAGUUAGUUUGGUGUUUUUGUGUAAUACAUUAGCAUGAUCAAUGGUGUAGAUAUACAUACUUGUUGCAGCCAGUGGAGGGACCAAGAUUAUUAGGAAAGUUAACCCCACAUUUACUAGGGAGGCCAACAAGAGCAUUCACAGUCAGUCCGGGCAGCAUUAUAGCUGCAUUUUCGAUACACAUACAGACUGCUUGACGACUAGAUUUCGUCGUAACAUGGUUGUUUGAGACCGUAACGUCAUUGCAACAUGGUUGCAAGAUAACAUCUAUGAUUGCGGCCACGUAAGGGACGCACGGUGCUACGAGAUUUUUUACUUGCUCUAGUCUCAUGAUAGGAUUAAUGGUUUUGCAUCAAUGCGUUGGGUUUGUUUUUUUAAUCGUUUUGAUUUACAGGAAAUAUAUAUGAAUCAUUGGUACUUGAAGCAGAAACUGAUAUGGAUGUUGAAUUAUUGCGCCACUACGAGAUUGUUUACUUAAUUCAUGACAAGCAUGAAGAACAAGUUACAUUUGUCAAUGAGAAAGUUCAAGAGUUUUUGAGGGAGAAGAAAUAAAGAGUGUGGGGAGAUUCAAAGAUUGGGCCAUGAGAAGGUUUUCUUACAAAAUACAUAAAGUAAUAAUGCACACUACUUUUUGAUUAAUUUCAAGUUGGAUGUGAAAUUUAUCAACGAGUUUAAAACUUUGUUGGACAAAGAUGAAAGAGUCAUUCGACAUCUUUUGGUAAAGAGGGACGAAGCAAUCACUGAAGAUUUCCCUCCCAUUCCCGGGUAUAGCACAAUUAAUGAUGAAGAACUUGACAAUGAAUGGGAUGAUGUAGCCGAAAAGGAAGAUGACUUUAAUGAUGAUGUUGGAGUAAUCAUCAGAGAUGAUGAUGAUUUGAGAAUGUUAGAGAGUCAAAUAUUAAAAUAACGAAGGAUUGAGAAUGCAGCUAAAUAGGUAGUUUUUUCUUUGCCUUGAAUUUUUUGUUCCUUUGUUUUUU